rnacentral:rRNA from 1 species
CCUACGGGAGGCAGCAGUGAGGAAUAUUGGUCAAUGGACGCGAGCCUGAACCAGCCAAGUAGCGUGCAGGAUGACUGCCCUACGGGUUGUAAACUUCUUUUAUAAAGGAAUAAAGUGAAGCACGUGUGCCUUUUUGUAUGUACUUUAUGAAUAAGGAUCGGCUCACUCCGUGCCCGCAGCCGCGUUCAUACGGAGGAUCCUAGCGUUUUCCGGAUUUCUUUGGUUUUAAGGGAGCGUAGAUGCGUUGUUAAGUCAGUUGUGAAAGUUUGCGGCUCAACCGUAAAAUUGCAAGUGAUACUGGCAGUCUUGAGUACAGUUGAGGUAGGCGGAAUUCGUGGUGUAGCGGUGAAAUGCUUAGAUAUCACGAAGAACGCCGAUUGCGAAGGCAGCUUACUAAACUGCCACUGACAUUGAUGCUCGAAAGUGUGGGUAUCAAACAGGAUUAGAUACCCUUGUAGUC